GCGUGAAGGGAGUUGGUAGAUGACUUACUAAGUGAGUUUUUGUCUAUGAAUAUCGUGACAAUUAACCCAUUUUAUUUAUAAAAAGAGUUAAUUGUCAAAAUUUUCAUAAUUAUAAACAAAAUACAUGUUUACUAUUUUAUUCGAUAAAAAUAAAAAAUAGAAUACGUACAUCAAUCAUGUUUUGGGGGACCUAGAUUAAAUUCAAAUUAGAUAAAUACACUUGUUUAAUGUAGUGUAAAUAUAAAAAUGUUUUGCCAUUUAUAACCUAUUACCUUAUGAAUAUUGUUAAGAUGAUAUUGAUAUUGACCGUAAAGCCCAUCUGGCAAAGGGGCCGCUUAAAGGCGACAACUGAAAGCCGUGGUGUUUGUGAGGGACAGACAACUUAAAAACAUUCUUUAUAUUUCGGCACGAAACAAAGGAUACCCAGCAUCUGGAUAUAUUAUCACAAUUUAAGAAUAUUAUCUUAACAAAAAUAUUAUCAUUUCACUCUUAAAGUGAUACUCUCCGCAAAUGGUCUAAGGAUUCAAACUAAACAGGAUGGAUAGAUAUCUUAAAUUUCAAAAUGUUACUAAAGCCAUCAGCGGUAGUCAUCAAGAACGAAGCAGAUAAUGAACAAUGAUGGACAAGAAGAUAUAUUAAACUGUGAUCAACAAUUGAUUUAUAUGAAAAAUUGUAUG